GAUGAACGCUGGCGGCGUGCCUAAUACAUGCAAGUCGAACGGAGAUUGUAGCAAUACGGUCUCAGUGGCGAACGGGUGAGUAACGCGUUGGUGACCUGCCCCAAAGAGCGGGAUAACAGUUCGAAAGUGGUGCUAAUACCGAAUGUAUUAUCUAGAGCGCAUGCAAAAAGUAACAAAGGUGGCCUCUAAACUAUGCUACCGCUAGAAGAUGGGUCUGCGUCUGAUUAGCUAGUUGUGGGGUAAAAGCCUACCAAGGCGACGAUCAGUAGCCGGUCUG
rnacentral:rRNA from 1 species